AGGUCUUCUUCGUCAUAGUACAAACAUCCAUCCUCUUUCGACCAUCCCGGCUAAUCUGCUUGAGAGACUCUCAAUGGCCUCUGUCAUGCCUUAUUGCAGACCUUGAACUUACUUCUGCCGCCCCCUUUGUGACAACUUCUCCCUGUCUUAGCCUUUUCCGGAUUCUUGGGAUGAGUAAAGACUCAACUUCCCUAGUGUACAGCGCAUGACCGCCUGUUGUUCACACUGGCAGGAGAAGGGUACUCGGUUGUGUCCCCUCUACUAGGGUUUGGGAGAGAUGCUCUCCGAGUUCUUGAUGAUUCGAUAUUCACUCUAUCACCAGGGACCUAUUUAUGAGAUAACAGUAAGAUUGGGACAUGUCGCAUAUCCACGCAUAGGAGCUCAACUCAACGUUCUUACCUAGUAGAAGUAGUUGGUUUGAGUAUAUAUAUUAUCUAUGUAAUAACCUUAGUUCCGCUAGUCAUAGAAGUCGAACUCGCUCGCAGGUAGGGAGAAUUUGUUUACAUUCAUUCCCAGCUAACCAACAGAGCGACUAGUGGUGGGCAAGAGGGUUUACAGGGUGAGGUACCUUCUUUAUUAAAUAAUCCCAUGGUCAUAGUUCCAUUCGUUAGCUUUAGAAAGAAAGGGGAUUCCCCCGGGAUCUACUAGUCAUGGCCUUGAGGCCUGGAGUCCGCCCUUCCAACUUAGGCAAUUUCCGUCUACUGAUCCUAUUGCCUUGACUCCUACUGCCCUACCACCAAGACCUACAAGAGCAGCGGAUGAGAUAGGAGCAGAGUCGUGAAAAGAGCUAAAUUCUCUACAUAUUUGAAGGAUAUUUACCCUGGCUUGCUUUCUAAUCCGAAAAGCAUGCCAUCCCUUUCGGUCUUCUUUUCAAGAGUAUUUGUUUUUCUCGUUUAUUAGUUCAUUGUUAGGAGAGGCUUUAAAAGCCCUUCGUUCGCUUCCCUGGAGUUUGUUGUUCUUGUUGCUUUCUUUCUUGCUUUCCUGAAUUCAUAGGAGAAAGCUCAGUAGAUUUGCUUGUUGUUUGUUGUUCUUUUGUGAAGUCGAAGGGGAACCUUCAUGCCUUUCUUUGUUGUUGCUUGUUCUUUCUUCCUUUGUUUCGUUAGGGGUACUUCUGAGAAGCCCUUGCCCUUGGGCGCUUUCUUCUGUUUGUUUUCCUUGAGCUCGUAAUGUUGCCUAUUUCGCUUUCUUUUCCUUUUACUCUCAGCUCGUAGAGGGGAAGCUCGUUCAGUUCGCUCCUGUUUGGGUAAACUUCUGUUGAUUUCGGUACUUUAGUUUCUAUAUUCCAUUCCACAAGAAAACUGAAGUUGUCGGGGUGAUAAUCAGAUUCCAUAACAGAUGUCCAAAUGAGAGGAUUGGACCUUUCUUUCUCAAAUAUUCCCACGCUGAAGACAAAGAGAAGCCACCAUUUUUGAGAGUUUCCACAAAGUCAAGAAGUCCAGGGUUAAUCCUGAUUGAGUCAUUGAUGACAACCUCUGAAGGUAAAUUCCAACCAUCUUCACAGAAGAAUGAGCUCCCUACACCUACAUUGAACUAAAUGUUAAAAGCAUAUAGUUGCAUUUGAAUGCUAACUGAAAGUUGGAUCAAGUAUAUCCUACUGAGCUCAAGAGAUUAAGGGCAAUUCUUUCUUUUAGGAAGGAUUCGAUCCCGGAUUGAAAUGGGUUUUUGUAUUAUCCUAUAUAAGGAAAGUGUACAUUGAGUN
rnacentral:lncRNA from 1 species